GAUGAAGAACGUAGCGAAAUGCGAUAAGUAGUGUGAAUUGCAGAAUUCAGUGAAUCAUCGAAUCUUUGAACGCACAUUGCGCCCCUUGGUAUUCCAUGGGGCAUGCCUGUUCGAGCGUCAUUUGUACCUUCAAGCUUUGCUUGGUGUUGGGUGUUUGUCCUGAGGGACUCGCCUUAAAGUAAUUGGCAGCCAGUGUUUUGGUUUUGAAGCGCAGCACAAGUCGCGAUUCAAAGCUAUACGCCAGCUUCCACAAGCCUUUUUCACUUUUGACCUCGGAUCAGGUAGGGAUACCCGCUGAACUUAAGCAUAUAAUAAGCGGAGGA
rnacentral:misc_RNA from 1 species